GGUUAAGCGACUAAGCGUACACGGUGGAUGCCCUGGCAGUCAGAGGCGAUGAAGGACGUGCUAAUCUGCGAUAAGCGUCGGUAAGGUGAUAUGAACCGUUAUAACCGGCGAUUUCCGAAUGGGGAAACCCAGUGUGUUUCGACACACUAUCAUUAACUGAAUCCAUAGGUUAAUGAGGCGAACCGGGGGAACUGAAACAUCUAAGUACCCCGAGGAAAAGAAAUCAACCGAGAUUCCCCCAGUAGCGGCGAGCGAACGGGGAGCAGCCCAGAGCCUGAAUCAGUGUGUGUGUUAGUGGAAGCGUCUGGAAAGGCGCGCGAUACAGGGUGACAGCCCCGUACACAAAAAUGCACAUGCUGUGAGCUCGAUGAGUAGGGCGGGACACGUGGUAUCCUGUCUGAAUAUGGGGGGACCAUCCUCCAAGGCUAAAUACUCCUGACUGACCGAUAGUGAACCAGUACCGUGAGGGAAAGGCGAAAAGAACCCCGGCGAGGGGAGUGAAAAAGAACCUGAAACCGUGUACGUACAAGCAGUGGGAGCACGCUUAGGCGUGUGACUGCGUACCUUUUGUAUAAUGGGUCAGCGACUUAUAUUCUGUAGCAAGGUUAACCGAAUAGGGGAGCCGAAGGGAAACCGAGUCUUAACUGGGCGUUAAGUUGCAGGGUAUAGACCCGAAACCCGGUGAUCUAGCCAUGGGCAGGUUGAAGGUUGGGUAACACUAACUGGAGGACCGAACCGACUAAUGUUGAAAAAUUAGCGGAUGACUUGUGGCUGGGGGUGAAAGGCCAAUCAAACCGGGAGAUAGCUGGUUCUCCCCGAAAGCUAUUUAGGUAGCGCCUCGUGAAUUCAUCUCCGGGGGUAGAGCACUGUUUCGGCAAGGGGGUCAUCCCGACUUACCAACCCGAUGCAAACUGCGAAUACCGGAGAAUGUUAUCACGGGAGACACACGGCGGGUGCUAACGUCCGUCGUGAAGAGGGAAACAACCCAGACCGCCAGCUAAGGUCCCAAAGUCAUGGUUAAGUGGGAAACGAUGUGGGAAGGCCCAGACAGCCAGGAUGUUGGCUUAGAAGCAGCCAUCAUUUAAAGAAAGCGUAAUAGCUCACUGGUCGAGUCGGCCUGCGCGGAAGAUGUAACGGGGCUAAACCAUGCACCGAAGCUGCGGCAGCGACACUGUGUGUUGUUGGGUAGGGGAGCGUUCUGUAAGCCUGUGAAGGUGUGCUGUGAGGCAUGCUGGAGGUAUCAGAAGUGCGAAUGCUGACAUAAGUAACGAUAAAGCGGGUGAAAAGCCCGCUCGCCGGAAGACCAAGGGUUCCUGUCCAACGUUAAUCGGGGCAGGGUGAGUCGACCCCUAAGGCGAGGCCGAAAGGCGUAGUCGAUGGGAAACAGGUUAAUAUUCCUGUACUUGGUGUUACUGCGAAGGGGGGACGGAGAAGGCUAUGUUGGCCGGGCGACGGUUGUCCCGGUUUAAGCGUGUAGGCUGGUUUUCCAGGCAAAUCCGGAAAAUCAAGGCUGAGGCGUGAUGACGAGGCACUACGGUGCUGAAGCAACAAAUGCCCUGCUUCCAGGAAAAGCCUCUAAGCAUCAGGUAACAUCAAAUCGUACCCCAAACCGACACAGGUGGUCAGGUAGAGAAUACCAAGGCGCUUGAGAGAACUCGGGUGAAGGAACUAGGCAAAAUGGUGCCGUAACUUCGGGAGAAGGCACGCUGAUAUGUAGGUGAAGUCCCUCGCGGAUGGAGCUGAAAUCAGUCGAAGAUACCAGCUGGCUGCAACUGUUUAUUAAAAACACAGCACUGUGCAAACACGAAAGUGGACGUAUACGGUGUGACGCCUGCCCGGUGCCGGAAGGUUAAUUGAUGGGGUCAGCGCAAGCGAAGCUCUUGAUCGAAGCCCCGGUAAACGGCGGCCGUAACUAUAACGGUCCUAAGGUAGCGAAAUUCCUUGUCGGGUAAGUUCCGACCUGCACGAAUGGCGUAAUGAUGGCCAGGCUGUCUCCACCCGAGACUCAGUGAAAUUGAACUCGCUGUGAAGAUGCAGUGUACCCGCGGCAAGACGGAAAGACCCCGUGAACCUUUACUAUAGCUUGACACUGAACAUUGAGCCUUGAUGUGUAGGAUAGGUGGGAGGCUUAGAAGUGUGGACGCCAGUCUGCAUGGAGCCGACCUUGAAAUACCACCCUUUAAUGUUUGAUGUUCUAACGUUGACCCGUAAUCCGGGUUGCGGACAGUGUCUGGUGGGUAGUUUGACUGGGGCGGUCUCCUCCUAAAGAGUAACGGAGGAGCACGAAGGUUGGCUAAUCCUGGUCGGACAUCAGGAGGUUAGUGCAAUGGCAUAAGCCAGCUUGACUGCGAGCGUGACGGCGCGAGCAGGUGCGAAAGCAGGUCAUAGUGAUCCGGUGGUUCUGAAUGGAAGGGCCAUCGCUCAACGGAUAAAAGGUACUCCGGGGAUAACAGGCUGAUACCGCCCAAGAGUUCAUAUCGACGGCGGUGUUUGGCACCUCGAUGUCGGCUCAUCACAUCCUGGGGCUGAAGUAGGUCCCAAGGGUAUGGCUGUUCGCCAUUUAAAGUGGUACGCGAGCUGGGUUUAGAACGUCGUGAGACAGUUCGGUCCCUAUCUGCCGUGGGCGCUGGAGAACUGAGGGGGGCUGCUCCUAGUACGAGAGGACCGGAGUGGACGCAUCACUGGUGUUCGGGUUGUCAUGCCAAUGGCACUGCCCGGUAGCUAAAUGCGGAAGAGAUAAGUGCUGAAAGCAUCUAAGCACGAAACUUGCCCCGAGAUGAGUUCUCCCUGACUCCUUGAGAGUCCUGAAGGAACGUUGAAGACGACGACGUUGAUAGGCCGGGUGUGUAAGCGCAGCGAUGCGUUGAGCUAACCGGUACUAAUGAACCGUGAGGCUUAACCUU
rnacentral:rRNA from 1 species